rnacentral:rRNA from 1 species
GUGCCAGCCGCGCGGUAAUACGGAGGAUCCAAGCGUUAUCCGGAAUCAUUGGGUUUAAAGGGUCCGUAGGCGGGACAAUAAGUCAGUGGUGAAAGUCUGCAGCUCAACUGUAGAACUGCCAUUGAUACUGUUGUCCUUGAGUAAUUAUGAAGUGGUUAGAAUAUGUAGUGUAGCGGUGAAAUGCACAGAUAUUACAUAGAAUACCGAUUGCGAAGGCAGAUCACUAAUAAUUUACUGACGCUGAUGGACGAAAGCGUAGGUAGCGAACAGGAUUAGAUACCCGGGUAGUCC